CCUACGGGGGGCAGCAGUGGGGAAUAUUGCACAAUGGGGGAAACCCUGAUGCAGCGACGCCGCGUGAGUGAAGAAGUAUUUCGGUACGUAAAGCUCUAUCAGCAGGGAAGAAAAACCGGCCUUAGGGCCGCCAGACGGUACCUGACUUAGAAGCCCCGGCUAACUACGUGCCAGCAGCCGCGGUAAUACGUAGGGGGCAAGCGUUAUCCGGAUUUACUGGGUGUAAAGGGAGCGUAGGCGGCAGCGCAAGUGUGGAGUGAAAUGCCGGGGCCCAACCCCGGAACUGCUUUUGAAACUGUUGGUCUUGAGUAUCGGAGAGGCAGGCGGAAUUCCGAGUGUAGCGGUGAAAUGCGUAGAUAUUAGGAGGAACACCAGUGGCGAAGGCGGCCUGCUGGACGACAACUGACGGUGAGGCGCGAAAGCGUGGGGAGCAAACAGGAUUAGAUACCCGAGUAGUC
rnacentral:rRNA from 1 species